UGAUUCUAAGACCGUACACCAUUGCUGUGGUGCGUAUCUGCUACGUUCUCUAAAAUAUUUCCUACCGUAUCGCACUUAUUUUAUAUCCGUACAUAUGCCGAUACGGCCCUUAUCUGGAGCCCUGUGUAUGUAUUCACAGGAGAUGAAGGAACAUGGAGUGCACAAGACUGUGAGGUCCUGAUGAGGUGAACAAUGGGUUUGAACGCUGUAGGUUUUACAUCCAACAUAUGUCAGGUUAUGUACAAACAGUUAAUGUUAAGCUGUAGUGAACAAAGAUAACUUGAGCAGGGACUAGUUCGCUCAAGGGUUAACGCUUUACUCCAUCAAGUUGCCUGAUUACUUCUGGUAAUGGUUUUACUGCCUGCAGCAGUCUGCUGUAUAUUGUGGCUGUAUGAAAUAUAUACCAUGUAUCAUUGAUUUUAUAUGUUCACUGUCAGUAUAUUACCAUCAUGGAGUUGUAUCUUUUAGUAACCAUGAUGACUGUUGUACCACCAGUGAGAUGUUGUAUGAAAUACAUGGUGACAGUGUUGUUUACAAGUUGUAUAUUUCAUGUAAAUAAACAUGCUGAUCUCAUUA